rnacentral:rRNA from 1 species
UGCCAGCCGCCGCGGUAAUACGGAGGGUGCAAGCGUUGUUCGGAAUUAUUGGGCGUAAAGAGCAUGUAGGCGGACUAUUAAGUCAGGGGUGAAAUCCCGGGGCUCAACCCCGGAACUGCCUCUGAUACUGGUAGUCUUGAGUUCGAGAGAGGUGAGUGGAAUUCCGAGUGUAGAGGUGAAAUUCGUAGAUAUUCGGAGGAACACCGGUGGCGAAGGCGGCUUCCUGGACCGAUACUGACGCUGAGACGCGAAAGCGUGGGGAGCAAACAGGAUUAGAUA